rnacentral:ncRNA from 1 species
CCUGAUCAGAGUUUGAUCCUGGCUCAGAUUGAACGCUGGCGGCAGGCCUAACACAUGCAAGUCGAACGGUAACAGGAAGCAGCUUGCUGUUUCGCUGACGAGUGGCGGACGGGUGAGUAAUGUCUGGGAAACUGCCUGAUGGAGGGGGAUAACUACUGGAAACGGUAGCUAAUACCGCAUAACGUCGCAAGACCAAAGAGGGGGACCUUCGGGCCUCUUGCCAUCGGAUGUGCCCAGAUGGGAUUAGCUUGUUGGUGGGGUAACGGCUCACCAAGGCGACGAUCCCUAGCUGGUCUGAGAGGAUGACCAGCCACACUGGA